UGGGGAAUAUUGCACAAUGGGCGAAAGCCUGAUGCAGCGACGCCGCGUGAGUGAAGAAGUAUUUCGGUAUGUAAAGCUCUAUCAGCAGGGAAGAAAAUGACGGUACCUGACUAAGAAGCCCCGGCUAACUACGUGCCAGCAGCCGCGGUAAUACGUAGGGGGCAAGCGUUAUCCGGAUUUACUGGGUGUAAAGGGAGCGUAGACGGUACCAUAAGUCUGAAGUGAAAGCCCGCGGCUCAACCGCGGGACUGCUUUGGAAACUAUGGAACUAGAGUGUUGGAGAGGUAAGUGGAAUUCCUAGUGUAGCGGUGAAAUGCGUAGAUAUUAGGAGGAACACCAGUGGCGAAGGCGACUUACUGGACAAUAACUGACGUUGAGGCUCGAAAGCGUGGGGAGCAAACAGG
rnacentral:rRNA from 2 species